rnacentral:rRNA from 1 species
GAUGAACGCUGGCGGCGUGCUUAACACAUGCAAGUCGAACGAUGAAAGCGGGAGCUUGCUCCUGCUGGAUUAGUGGCGAACGGGUGAGUAACACGUGAGUAACCUGCCCUUGACUCUGGGAUAAGCGUUGGAAACGACGUCUAAUACCGGAUACGACCUUCGGAGGCAUCUCCUGGGGGUGGAAAGAAUUUCGGUCAAGGAUGGACUCGCGGCCUAUCGGCUAGUUGGUGAGGUAAUGGCUCACCAAGGCGACGACGGGUAGCCGGCCUGAGAGGGUGACCGGCCACACUGGGACUGAGACACGGCCCAGACUCCUACGGGAGGCAGCAGUGGGGAAUAUUGCACAAUGGGCGCAAGCCUGAUGCAGCAACGCCGCGUGAGGGACGACGGCCUUCGGGUUGGUAAACCUCUUUAGUUAGGGAAGAAGCGAAAGUAGACGGUACCUGCAGAAAAAGCACCGGCUAACUACGUGCCAGCAGCCGCGGUAAU